rnacentral:lncRNA from 1 species
ACCGCGCCCCGCGCCCCGGGCCGCGCAGCCAGCCCUUACCUUGCAGCGACCAGCUCUCCCCCGCUCGCUAAAGCUACUUAUCCCGGGAAAGCUCGCGCGGGGCCCGGGAGCGAACCCACAGACAAAAAGUGAAACUUCGGCAAGGCUGGAGCGGCUGCUGGUUGGUGCCUUUCCCCCUCCUUCCUCCCACCGUCCCCACCCCCUCCCCUCGGUCUCCCGUGCGGUGCCCUGAGAGCUGGAGGCUGACGUCAGGACGGGCCUGAAUUCCUGACUUUGCCUGCACGCAUUUGUCCAUGGCGCCAGACUAGGGGGUUGAGUCCGGGUAGACGAGCUCAGCCGUGGAAUCCCCCUGCGAGAUCUUGCUCGUGAGCCCCGCCCCGGAUUCCCAGCAAGGUUCAAACGUACUGGAUGUCGGAACUGGCCCCGACCAACUUCCAGCCCUUCCACUUCACACGGGAAAUCUGAAGCUCUCGGAAGAGAAACGACUCGUACAAGGUCAUGCCCGCCACAGAUCCCGGCGCGGGAGCCAGAUGCUCAGUCUCCCAGCUAUGUUCCUGUCUGCAGGCAGGGGCCCGACUCCCUCCUUCCCGCGGACCAGUUAGCCCGGCUGGAUGUCAGAGGGCAACGCGGACCACCCUGGGAAGAGAUUUGGAGCUUCCCCGGGCCCCGUACGCGGUCAGUUCCUGGAAGGUUCUGAUUGCCAAUGAGCACUGCAUAGCCAUGCUGAUCAGUUUCUUCAAGGCAACUCCUUCCAUCCAGUGCUCAAAUAAACGAAGCCCUGGAAUUUACUUAACAGCCCUAUCCAGAAACCCAGACUUCGUGCUUAUAGCUUCAAAAAAAAUCUACGAACUGGGUGAAUUAGUUUGAAUAAAGGCAAGACUGUUCUUGGAAGGUUUGUGUAGGACUUUUUGCUCUGAUAUUUGUAAAUGUGAGCACCAUGUGAGGGGCCUAUCCUGUGCAUCAGCCAUUGCCUGCAAGGCACGCCGAGGCUGGAGACUCGUUUCCUUGUACUUCUGUCCUGCUUCCUGAUGUCUAAACUAAUCAUUCCUCACCCCAGCGCAUCGUAAAAGCACAUUCUCCCAGGUUUAUAAGGUCUUCAUAAAACAAAUUGUAGUCCAUCGUUGACAUUUGAGGUAAAAAGUCAGGCAAAAUAACUUAACCAACACAAAAACAGCAAGCAACUUGAACCCACCUCCGGUGUCUAGGUCACCUGACUGAUCCCAUGAUUUUUUCCACCCAAGGAGGAGGCCCUGAUCUCCUAAUUCAUAUUAAUACAUGUUGAGAGUACACCAUGAGUUACUAAUUCGUGAAAUCUCCAAAAGUUGGUUCUUUUGGGAUUUGGUGUGACUUUUUUUUUUUUUAACCAAGAAUUAAACAAAUGCAGAAACACAUAUUUUUGCACUUAACCAUUUAUUAAGCAUAUUCUUUGUGCAAAGUCUUUGACUUCACACAUUUCUGCUUCCAAAUUAAUCUCUCUUGCUCUCAGUUUCUCAUCUAUUCAUACAAAAAUAUGAAAAUAGAGAAGUUCAGUAAUGAAAUAUUUUUCUUUGCAACUGGUAUAGUUUGAAAUAGGAAAUGUGAGCUCCUAAAGACAUUUUGUUCUGGGGCUUAAAAAGAUUAUUCUCUUACACCACAAUUCACUUAUUCUAUCCUCAGUAUUUCAGCAAACGACAUUCUAAGUGGUACUGUAUAAUAUGAAAAAUUCCUGGUAUCACGCAAAGUAAGAAUGGAUUCAACCAUUCCCCAUCGGAUAUAACGGGACUUGACCAGCAUUUUUUUUUUCCUUCCCCAGUAACCCACUUAUAAAGAAUAAUAGGGUUCUAAUGAGGAUUAAUAAGAUUUAAUAAGGUAUAAUUAGAGCCAUUCAUUUCCUUCAUCAUACACAUUGUAAGAGUGCUGUGUUAGAUCCAGAAAUGCUCCUAAUUAUGUUGAAACUGUUGUAUGAGUGUGUUGGGGAAGAUCACUGUGUCACCCCUCCUGAAAUAUUUAUGAAAUGCUCAGGUGGGCCUGAUGUUAGCACAAGUAUUAUAUAAAGUUAAUCACAAAAGAUAAUUUCUACUCAGGAGGCACUCACCAGGAGUGUAAGAGGCAAAGUCAUAAAUUGGAUGCUUGGCGAACUGCAUGCAGUCUUGUCAUCAGUGCAAACUCAAAUCAAAAGCCUCAUUUUCGUGUGCUGAUCUGAUUUCUUUUGUAUUCACACUUCUCUCAACAACCCUAUUAAAACCUGCUGCGUGCGGGGACUUGGGAAAGAAGGGAAGGCUGUGUAAAGCUACAGACACAAUUCUGGAGAAAUACAGGUUUACGAAUUCAGAGACUAAAAGAAGCACAGAAUUUCAGAUGGGGCGGAGGAUGAGUGACCAGAGGAUUGUACACUGGUGGCCUGAAGCCCUACAGAUGCAGUCUCGUAGGUCCAGUGAUGGCACAAAAGACUUUGAACAAGGCUAGGCUGUGGUGCCCCCAUUUCCUUGCAUCCAGGACCAUCCCUUUCCCAGAGGCCAUUGUGUAGCUCAUGCCAGUCCUUUCUCUGACCUUACAUAUGCCUGGCAAUAUUCUAAGGAUUUUUCAUCCAUAUUUCAUUUAACCCUCACAGAACCCUUCUGAGCUUGGCAGCAGUAUUUUCUCUAGCCCAGGAAGGUGAAGUAGCCUGCUCUUAACACAGAGCAAGUACAUGGUAAGCUGAAAUGCCCCUCUGAGCCCAGGCAGCCUGACUACUCACCCACUGCUGAGUGACCAUCUGGUCUCAGUUUGAACAUUCCAGUGUGCAGAACUCAUAAUCUGUCACAGCUGACCAAGAGGGUAUGAAGAAGCUACUGG